GAAGCCACAGAAACAGAGAAUAGACAGGACAUCCAAAUUCUGGCCAGCAAGAUAAGCAGCACAGAUUUAACUGAACUGGAUGACCAGACAUUUAAAAGUAUUGAACAGCUAUCUCGUCAGCUCAAUGAAAUGUUGAAUACGACAAGAUGAAAGCAAAGA